UACGGAGGAUCCAAGCGUUAUCCGGAAUCAUUGGGUUUAAAGGGUCCGUAGGCGGUUUAGUAAGUCAGUGGUGAAAGCCCAUCGCUCAACGGUGGAACGGCCAUUGAUACUGCUGAACUUGAAUUAUUAGGAAGUAACUGGAAUAUGUAGUGUAGCGGUGAAAUGCUUAGAUAUUACAUGGAAUACCAAUUGCGAAGGCAGGUUACUACUAAUGGAUUGACGCUGAUGGACGAAAGCGUGGGGAGCGAACAGG
rnacentral:rRNA from 1 species